rnacentral:ncRNA from 1 species
UUAAAGUUUUAUUUAAGCUUAGGAUUUUAGUUUAUUUUUUUUUUACAUGUGGAUGUUUAAUUUUAUUUAAAUAAUUUAUUUUGCAGUAUUUAGUAUUAAAGAUUUAGUUAUUUAAGAUUUAGAAAUAAGUGAGAAGUAUUAAUUUAAUUUGUGCCAGCAAUUGCGGUUAUACAAAUAAUAUAAUUAAAAUUUUUUGGUUAACAGUUUAUUGUUAAUUGUUGUUAUUGGUUUAUUAUUAAUUUUAUUGGGUGAAAUUUUAAUUUUAGUAUAAGUCGGUUUAUAAUUUUUGAAGCUGUAAAAAUUUAAUUUUAGACUAGGAUUAGAUACCCUAUUAUUUUAAUUGUAAUAAAUAUUACCUGAUUAUUAAUAGUUUAUUUUCUUGAAAAUUAAAGAUUUUGGCGGUAUUUUAGUCCAUUCAGAGGAACCUGUCCUAUAAUCGAUAGUCCACGAUUUACUUUACUUUUAUUUUUAGUUUGUAUAUCGUCGUUAUUGAACAUUUUAUUAGAAUUUUAAUGGUCAAUUUUUAAUUUAAUAGUUAAUGUCAGAUCAAGGUGCAGUUUAUAUAAAAGAAGAGAUGGGUUACAAUAAAUUUAUUUCUGGGUUAUUAAUUUUAAUAUUGAUAGUAAAUUGGAUUUGAUAGUAAUUUUUAUAAAUUUUUAAUUGUGAUUAUUGGCUCUAAAAUAUGCACAUAUUGCCCGUCGCUCUCAUUAAGGUGAGAUAAGUCGUAACAUAGUAGGUGUACUGGAAAGUGUCCCUAGAAAGAU